UAUCAGCCCAGCAUAUUUUAAUCACAUUUCUUACUAUUUUAUUAAUAAUUAAAUAGUAUUUUAACUAAAAUAUAACUAAAUAUUAUCAUCUGUGGUAAUCAACUUUCACUAAGAGAGGAGGCCAGACACUUCGGUGGUUUUAAAUCCUUUUUUUAAAUUUCAACAUCUUGUCAUUGUCAAGAAGUUUCUACUGACCCCUCCCUUCUCCCAAGUGCACAUCACUGAGCCUGCACUUGCAUUAAGACAUUCCCUUCAGAUCAGGCUCUCCCAGCAAAGCGUGGACAGAAAGUCACACAUUCCAAGGUGCAUAGCUCCAAAUAUAUGGAUAUAUUCUUAGAUGGAGUCAGAAUCCUUGAGACAAUCUGUUUCAAAGGGUAAAUGUGGAUGGUUUUGCAAAGAUACAUAUAGUUUUACCCUCACUAGCUAGCUGAAAUAAGUUCCUUGUGAAAAAGAGCAAAUACCAAUCAAUUUCAUCAACUCAGUAUAUGUUGCAUAUAAUCAGCCCAGAAAACUGUUUUAUACAACAUCCAAAGCAGGCAAUGAAUGAAAAAAAGUGCAUUUCUAACAGAGUUCCAUUGACAUGUAUACAUUCAUCUAAUACAUAUUCAUGACUGGCACUUUAUUGCAAAAAGUUUCAAUUAAUAUUAACAAUACUAAGGGAAGCAGAAGAUUUUAACAAAGUCCUCUCCAGAUGCCUUGAUAAACAAUAGCAAUAUGUAGAAAUCUGGUGAUUCAUAUUUUCUAAGAAGUUUAAAAUGUAUCUUAAAUAGAAAAUAUUUUCAGAAUCUGAGGUAACCACUUCAUCUCUGCUAGUACUUUUCUCAGUAUUAUAGAGUUUUAAGAGCUUUCUCUUUAAUGUCUGCUGGAAGGUGGCAUUCAGCUAAGAAUUAAGUCCUGAAAUGAAUGUGUCUUUCCUUAAUUAGGAAUUUCAAUCAAAUACCAAGAAUUGACAUCUUGAAGCUAAGGAUUGUCGAUGAAAAGAGUCAAACUCUGAUAAUAUUUGAAGAGAUUUAUUCUGAGCCAAAUGUGUGGCUACUAAGGGCUCUCCCUAAGAAACAUCAUGCUCACUAAGUUCCCAGGAAGCCUUCCCUGCAACAGAAGCCCUCUAACUGCACCUCGUUGUAAAUUUUGGGGAAGAAGACCACAAAAGAAAAGUGCCAUCCACGUUACAUCCUAUCAAGGGUACGUGCCAUCAACGUGACUGAUGUAAUAGUGUUAACCUCGAUCGCUUGACUGAGGUAGAGUUUGUGGAGUUUCUCUUUUUUUUUUUUUGUUUUUUGA